rnacentral:misc_RNA from 1 species
AAAUGUGAGAAAAUAAUGGAGAUAUCAGCUUCGCAAAUGGAAAAAUUCAAUAAAAAAGAGGCCGCCUGCCCUGGGAUCCAGACUGUGUCGAAAGCUCAGGCGCUAACCACUGCGCUGUCGUCGUCCGACACUAGUAAGUGUCGAGUGGUGAUAUUUGGCUUGUCGAGUGCCGCCACAGAACGAUAGUAAACGCCCCAUGGUACGUUACAAAUGAUACAGAGGGAUCUGGGAAUACCAACGGUCAAGGAAGCAAUUAGCAGUUAUGCGGAAAGAUACAAGGAAAGAAUAGCAACACACCCAAACCGGCUAGCUGCGGAAACGAUCAGCACCUCAAAUAUGGAAAGAAGACCGAAAAGGAAACACCCAGC